CACUCGCUCGCCUCUGUUCGCCACUCAGUCGUCGCCUCUCUUCUCCCCAUCGCCUCUGUACUGCCACCUCGCCGGCCACCACCUCGCCCACCUCGCCGGCCAGGCGGCCACCAGCUCUCCCCGUCACCGCUGUCUUUCUCCCGCCUCCACUCACACCCGUCGUCCACUCGCACCCCACAUCCGAGGUCAAGCUUUGAUGCGCCUGCUCUGGAUCUGGCGACGGAGGCGGUGGAUGCGGGAGAUAGGGAGGAGGCCGUCGCGGUGGUGUGGCUGGACCACAUCCUCAAGCACACCGAUGGCGCCAUGGAGGAGGCCGAGCGCAUCUGCCGCUGCCACAACGCCGACGGCGCCAUGGAGUACUGGCUCGAGCCGGACGAGCUCGCGGCCCUGCGCCGGGAGAUCCGCGUCGACCCGUACUGGGUGCCGCCAGGGUGGAAACGCGGAGACCCCGUGUCCGCGGAUGGCUACGCGCUCAAGGCAAAGAUGCGGGUGGAGGAGCUCAGCAAGGAGCUCGCCGGAUUAAAAAGGGAGGUGUCUGACGAAGGAAGCUGCGAGGGGGACACGGCGGCCGAUGACGGCGGCCGAUGAAGUAUGACAUUACAUCAUCCCAAAUGUUCAUUAUUCCAGUGCCACGCCCAGAGGGCUGGAUGGUGCGAAUCUUUGACAAUUGACAUGGUGACAAAAAUAACAAAUGUUUUUGACCCACUGUACACGAAAAUUUCUAAUAGUCAUCCGACCAAGGAACGAGAUCAGGGCACAGACUGGGAGUUGCACAAUGCAUUGUUUUCAUGUUUGAACGAAUUCUAUGCUGGAUGGCCGACGAAGCAAGGAAAAUUGGGGCGUCAAGCACAAUCCAACCACUGAUGCCAUCUUCAUACUAGCCGAGACAGGGACAUGCAUGAUCCACAUCGCUUGUCACUUCGAUGGAGAAAAGCUUAAGCUUCAGCUUACAAAGCACAACGUCUCCAAAACAAAGAAGGACGCCCUCCAUGAGUGUGCUUGAAGCUUCAGGGCAACUUCUCUGCACUUGCGCACAAUGCGUGGCAUCUGAUUCUGUGUUCAACAACUAGGAAGGGGCCUGCAACAGCGCCAUUUGCGUUAGACUGAUCAUCAGACACUUGCCGCUAUCUGCCUUCUAAUCGUUAUGUGCCAGACUGACUUUUGUAAAUAUCAAUGAUAAUAUCAUGAACGACAACUAUUUCUGCUUCGACUUA